rnacentral:rRNA from 1 species
UAACAACCUGGAAACAGAUGCUAAUACCGGAUAACAACAGAUGAUGCCUAUCAACUGUUUAAAAGAUGGUUCUGCUAUCACUCUUGGAUGGACCUGCGGUGCAUUAGCUAGUUGGUAGGGUAACGGCCUACCAAGGCGAUGAUGCAUAGCCGAGUUGAGAGACUGAUCGGCCACAUUGGGACUGAGACACGGCCCAAACUCCUACGGGAGGCAGCAGGA